AUGGCGCCCUCCAGCCUGCUGUGGGCACUGGUGGCCUUCGCCUGCUCUGGAUCUGGUGUGGCCCAGAAAGUAAUUCAAGACGAGCCAACUACAGUCCAACAAAUAAAGUUAGAAGUCACCCUGAAGUGUCGGUAUGAAGUACCUUGGAGUUGGAGUUACUAUUACCUGUACUGGUACAAGCAGCUUCCCGAUGGGAAGAUGACUAAUGUUAUUCGUCAGUAUUCUUCUGAUAACAAUGCGGUAAAGGGCCGCUUUUCUGUAAAACUCCAGAAAACAGACUAUACCUUCUCCCUCACCAUUAAAUCCUUACAACUUGAAGAUUCAGCAAUGUAUUUCUGUGCUCUCAGAGAUACACUGUGUUUGAAAUGA